GACGGGACCGCACAAGGCGUGGAUGAUGUGGUUUAAUUCGAUGCAACGCGAAAACCUUACCCACCUUUGACAUGUACGGAGUCCUUUAGAGAUAGAGGAGUGCUCGAAAGAGAGCCGUAACACAGGUGCUGCAUGGCUGUCGUCAGCUCGUGUCGUGAGAUGUUGGGUUAAGUCCCGCAACGAGCGCAACCCUUGUCAUUAGUUGCUACAUUCAGUUGGGCACUCUAAUGAGACUGCCGGUGACAAACCGGAGGAAGGUGGGGAUGACGUCAAGUCCUCAUGGCCCUUAUAGGUGGGGCUACACACGUCAUACAAUGGAUGGUACAAAGGGUCGCCAACCCGCGAGGGGGAGCCAAUCCCAUAAAGCCAUUCGUAGUCCGGAUCGCAGUCUGCAACUCGACUGCGUGAAGUCGGAAUCGCUAGUAAUCGUGGAUCAGAAUGUCACGGUGAAUACGUUCCCGGGUCUU
rnacentral:rRNA from 1 species